rnacentral:rRNA from 1 species
GACCUCAUGCUCGUGGAGCGGCCGAUAUCUGAUUAGCUAGUUGGUAGGGUAAAAGCCUACCAAGGCAUCGAUCAGUAGCUGGUCUGAGAGGACGACCAGCCACACUGGAACUGAGACACGGUCCAGACUCCUACGGGAGGCAGCAGUGGGGAAUUUUGGACAAUGGGCGAAAGCCUGAUCCAGCAAUGCCGCGUGAGUGAAGAAGGCCUUCGGGUUGUAAAGCUCUUUUGUCAGGGAAGAAACGGUGAGAGCUAAUAUCUUUUGCUAAUGACGGUACCUGAAGAAUAAGCACCGGCUAACUACGUGCCAGCAGCCGCGGUAAUACGUAGGGUGCAAGCGUUAAUCGGAAUUACUGGGCGUAAAGCGUGCGCAGGCGGUUUUGUAAGUCUGAUGUGAAAUCCCCGGGCUCAACCUGGGAAUUGCAUUGGAGACUGCAAGGCUAGAAUCUGGCAGAGGGGGGUAGAAUUCCACGUGUAGCAGUGAAAUGCGUAGAUAUGUGGAGGAACACCGAUGGCGAAGGCAGCCCCCUGGGUCAAGAUUGACGCUCAUGCACGAAAGCGUGGGGAGCAAACAGGAUUAGAUACCCUGGUAGUCCACGCCCUAAACGAUGUCUACUAGUUGUCGGGUCUUAAUUGACUUGGUAACGCAGCUAACGCGUGAAGUAGACCGCCUGGGGAGUACGGUCGCAAGAUUAAAACUCAAAGGAAUUGACGGGGACCCGCACAAGCGGUGGAUGAUGUGGAUUAAUUCGAUGCAACGCGAAAAACCUUACCUACCCUUGACAUGGCUGGAAUCCUUGAGAGAUCAGGGAGUGCUCGAAAGAGAACCAGUACACAGGUGCUGCAUGGCUGUCGUCAGCUCGUGUCGUGAGAUGUUGGGUUAAGUCCCGCAACGAGCGCAACCCUUGUCAUUAGUUGCUACGAAAGGGCACUCUAAUGAGACUGCCGGUGACAAACCGGAGGAAGGUGGGGAUGACGUCAAGUCCUCAUGGCCCUUAUGGGUAGGGCUUCACACGUCAUACAAUGGUACAUACAGAGCGCCGCCAACCCGCGAGGGGGAGCUAAUCGCAGAAAGUGUAUCGUAGUCCGGAUUGUAGUCUGCAACUCGACUGCAUGAAGUUGGAAUCGCUAGUAAUCGCGGAUCAGCAUGUCGCGGUGAAUACGUUCCCGGGUCUUGUACACACCGCCCGUCACACCAUGGGAGCGGGUUUUACCAGAAGUAGGUAGCUUAACCGUAAGGAGGGCGCUUACCACGGUAGGAUUCGUGACUGGGGUGAAGUCGUAACAAGGUAGCCGUAUCGGAAGGUGCGGCUGGAUCACCU